rnacentral:rRNA from 1 species
CCUACGGGAGACAGCAGUGAGGAAUAUUGGUCAAUGGGCGCGAGCCUGAACCAGCCAAGUCGCGUGAGGGAGGACGGCCCUACGGGUUGUAAACCUCUUUUGCCGGGGAGCAACGGGCGUCACGUGUGGCUCCACUGAGAGUACCCGGAGAAAAGGCAUCGGCUAACUCCGUGCCACCAGCCGAGGUAAUCCGGAGGAUGCGAGCGUUAUCCGUAUUUAUUGGGUUUAAAGGGUGCGUAGGCGGAUCGUUAAGUCAUGGGUCAAAUUGAGGGGCUCAACCCCUUCCCGCCAUUGAAACUGGCGCUCUUGAGUGGAAGAGAAGUAUGCGGAAUGCGUGGUGUAGCGGUGAAAUGCAUAGAUAUCACGCAGAACCCCGAUUGCGAAGGCAGCAUGCCGGCUUCCGACUGACGCUGAAGCACGAAAGCGUGGGGAUCGAACAGGAUUAGAUACCCCUGUAGUC